GAUGCUCUAUCCACUGAGCCAAACCGGCCAGGGCAUGAUUGCUUGCUUGUUUUAAUGGUGUUUGCUUAUUUUUUGCCUGAAUUGCAGGCAAUCUCAUCCCUUCUGCACUGACUUGACGUAAUCCUUCUCUCAGAAUCAAAGCCUUCCCAAGAAGUGCGCAGUCACUUGCGUCGGGGGAGGGGCCCUGUCCAGCUGUCUGAGAUCCCAGAGGCAAAGAUGAAUUUGCAUCUCACCAUCCACAACCACACCUAGACCUCCUUGCUGCCAAUGACACAUUUGCAAGACUGUCCGCAAGCCCUGGAUGGAAACAUUCAACACAAGUGGAGACUGAACAUCGAGGGGCGUCUUACACAUGGAAAAAUACGGAGGGAGCUGAGGAGGAAUCCUCACGGGUGCCUAGCUGCCCAUACCUUGUCAAACAGGCUUCCUCCAACCACAAGCCUUAUUGUUAGUGACGUCAGCUGAUGCCAAA